rnacentral:lncRNA from 1 species
CCUGUGACCUGUGGAGGGGUCGCCCCGAUCUCGUGGCCUGCUUGUCCGCGGGGUCCCCCUCCCCGGAGAGAAAGGACGGCCACAGGCUUUUUAGGAAAAGGCGCAGCUGCGCAUUUCCGCGUUGGGCUUUCCAGCAGCGUCACCGGGGAUUCAGAAACAAAAAGCAAACAAACAAACAAAAAAAACCCACGAGUUUCCCGACGCCGACCUGUGGAGGGGUCGCCCCGAUCUCGUGGCCUGCUUGUCCGCGGGGUCCCCCUCCCCGGAGAGAAAGGACGGCCACAGGCUUUUUAGGAAAAGGCGCAGCUGCGCAUUUCCGCGUUGGGCUUUCCAGCAGCGUCACCGGGGAUUCAGAAACAAAAAGCAAACAAACAAACAAAAAAAACCCACGAGUUUCCCGACGCCGCUGGGCUUCUGGGGCGCAGGCAUGAGAUUUUCGCGGAAUCUAGGCUCAUCCGGGGACGCCAGGGGACCUCCCGGCGGCUUGGGGUGGGUGGGCAGCUCAGCGCCCAGGCUUUCACGGUUCCCGGUGCCGGCUGGGUGCUGGUGAGACGGGCGGGGACCGUGGCAGAAGCUGGCAUCCUCUGCCCGCCAAGCCGAGCAAGUGCCCCUCCUCUCUGGCUUCAGGACAGUAAGGAUCCGGGCCUGGCGGUGGUCGGCGGCCAGUGGGUGUUGUGCCCGCAGCUCCGGGCAAGGGAAAGGAGGUUGAUGGGAACUUGGGUGUGUUCGGGAAGGGCCCCGCUUCGGAGAUCAAGCCAGCUGGACCUUCCCCGUUUCCUGAUUGGCGUUGUUACUGCCCGUGAGUGGGACUGGUGUCUCUGGAGGAAGGAUCUCACUCAGCAGAACUGCAGAGGGGAAAUACCCAGGGCCAAGGCCAAGGAGAAUAAAAGGGGACCUAUGAGAAGAAAGAGCCAGAAGCCAUCUCCAGCCUAAGCUGAUUGUCAAGAUGAUAAAUUGUGUGCUUUGCUGCCCUUAAUUUGAUCAUCGCUGCCGAGCAGAGAUGAGAAGGGCCAUAGCCCCACAGGGACAUAAAAUUAUCUGGAAGAUGAAUCUCUCAUAGCUACGGAGAGUGAAAAAAUGGGAAUCCAUAAGAGGAAGUCUUAGAGUCCUAUCACUGUGGCUUGUCCUCUCUCUCUCUCUUUUUUUUUUUUUUUUGUUUGUUUUUACUACCACGAAAAUGGCCCAGGAAGCCAGGUGGCCUACUUGCUAGGUAAAUAGACUUCCUUAAUUCUUUAUUUCUUUUUAUCCCACACAUAUUUUUGAUCUCUCUGGAUGCAUGACAUGAUCUGGGCUUGAUUGGUGUUAACCUGCCUUGGAAUUGUUACUUGGGAGCCAGGCAUGGUGGUGGGGCACGCCUGUAAACCCAGCACUCAGGAGGCUGAGGUAGGAGGGUCGUCAUGAGUUCAAGGCCAGCCUAAAUUACAUAGAAAGAUCUUGUUUCCAAAAACCAGAAAUCCACCCCUGCAAAACAAAAGAAUUGUAGCCUGGGCGUGGUGGCACAUGCCUGUAAUCCCAGCACUCUGGAGGCUGAGGCAAGAGGAUUGCUCUAAGUUUGAGACCAGCCUGCACUGCAUAGUGAGUUCCAGGUCAGUCUCAACUACACAGUGAGACCCUGUCUCAAAAAACCAAAAACAAACAAAAGAAUUGUUAUUUGGGGUCAAGUUGAUACUUUCCGGGGUCCUCACCAUUUCAUUGUUUAAGUCUGUUUUGACCUCUAGACAGAGGCCAUAACACCUUUGCAUCUAAUGGAAUUUGUCCCCGGACCAGGAUUGAGUAGAAGAAUUGUGUCUGAUUUUAUUGGGCUUGUUAGGAGCAGAAAACUGUGACUUUUUCCAUGCUGCCAAGAGGCUCCUGUAACAAAGACAAAUCAACUAUGGAAAAGCCUAACAGGUUGAGUUAAACAAAAUUUUAUAGGACAUAGGAGUCUUCUGAAAUGUAGACCCAAACUUGAGGAAAAACUGUUCAUUUUUAUGCUCAUAUCCAGUGAGGCGUGGACAGCCAUGCAGAAAUGUGACUGGACCCAGGGUGUGAGCUGUGUGCUCGGUUCCUCCUGGGCCUCUGGGUCAGGCUCCUUCCUUCUUCCUAGUGUGGACGGGGCCUUUGGGUCAGGGUCUUAGGUUCCACUCUCAGACAAGGUGGGUGAAGAAUUCGCACGGAGGCGGGAAGGCUGGAGUGACAGCUGCGGGUUCUGUGUUCUGCCCCAGGGAAGAGGAAUCCUGGUUUCUCUGGCUGCCUUAGGGGAGAAAAGGAAGCAGGAGGUCAGAGAGGCUGCGCUGCUGCCCCUCCUGUGUUCCCUGGUUCAGAGUCCACGCGUGCCAUGUGCUACUCUUUAGGGUAGGUCUUCUGUGCCCUAACAGGUUUAAGGCAUCUCAGAAACAAACAAAAAAUUACAGAGGGAGCGUGGGUGGUAGCAAUCUUUCGCUUAUCUCUCCCUUGUAGGGAGUUAAUUCACCAGGAUGGAAAGCCCAAGGCUUCAGAGAAAGUAAUGAUGGAGGAUGUCAGCUAUUCAGCUAUGGAGCCUUAGAACUGGCAGUGUUCCUGGGUAAAUUUAAGGGCUCAGUGUUGACUCGCCUUAAUCUUGGAUCCUGUGAGGUUAUUCCUAGACCAUGUACUGAUAUCUUAAACAUUUAAAAAUAGCAUUAUUUCAGAAAGUAUGGAAGACAAAGAGGAAAAUCAGGCAUAAUUUAAUCACAGAAACACAAGCUUUCCUUAUUGGGUGGCUUCUGUCUUUUCUCACUGCCUGUUUUCUUUGUAAUUGAAAUCAGAGUACAUACAGUUUGGUAUCCUGACACAGGCUUAUUAAUGAUCUCUGUGGUUUCAUCAAAAGCCAUCAUUCAUGUACAAAACGGGGAUGUGGUUUCACCAGGAAUCCAGCGGGAAAUGGCCCUCUCUGAUUGUAGGGAGCGACUCAUUUCUCCCUGGAUGGAAGCAUUUUCCACUCCAUUCCUCCAAUCAGUGUAAUUUGUAGUUCCGCCGUAUUGAACCUGGCUUUGGGCUGGUGGUAACUUUAUCUUCAACUUGUGGAGCAAGUGGCCCUGUGGAAACACUGAAUUCAGAAGAUGUAAUUUGAAAACAUUUCUCUGAAAUACUUCACCAAGCUUCUGUGUUUUUUCCAGGUAUACUAAAUUUGAGUGUGUUUGGGGUCAGAGUGACUUCGCUUGGCGUGCACUUUCUCUCUUCCUCGUGCAAAGAGGACUGGAGGUUCCAGUUUCCCCUUUUGUCUAAAUCCUUCCCCUUUACCAUUUAGGGUUUAAGAAGCACCAUUCAUUCUCCUUGGACAUUUUCUCCAGUCGUAGGCAGGGUCCGUUCCAUUGUGACUGUUGCAAAGCAGCUAGUGGCCCUUAGGUUAAGAAUUUUAAGCAACAUUUGACUUUUAAAUGCAGAAGUUGGAUAGUUCCUUAGGGUGUACGGUAGUGAGGAUCCACUAUGUUACAUUAUUGUAAAGAACAUUUUUCUCUCCGGAGGACCUAGACCAAACCUUUUUGGCCUUCCCAGCUGGUUCUCAGUCUUGUUUACAAACUAGUCUGUUUUCUGGGGC